ACGUAGGUGGCGAGCGUUGUCCGGAAUCAUUGGGCGUAAAGAGCGCGUAGGUGGCUUGUCAGGUCUGAUGUGAAAUCCUGGGGCUCAACCCCAGGCCUGCAUUGGAAACCGGCUUGCUAGAGUCUGGGAGAGGAGAGUGGAAUUCCUGGUGUAGCGGUGAAAUGCGUAGAUAUCAGGAGGAACACCGGUAGCGAAGGCGGCUCUCUGGAACAGUACUGACACUGAGGCGCGAAAGCUAGGGGAGCGAACAGGAUUAGAUACCCUGGUAGUCCUAGCCGUAAACGAUGGACACUAGGUGUCGGGGGUGUCGACUCCCCCGGUGCCGAAGCUAACGCAUUAAGUGUCCCGCCUGGGGAGUACGGCCGCAAGGCUA
rnacentral:rRNA from 1 species